GAAGAUCCAGGAGUCGGGUGAGAAGGGGAUGGACUUGGCAUCAACAGCGGUCAACGAAGAGACAAAUGAGACUAACCACUUGCAGCAAGACUUGAACGAUCUAGUGUGUAAUAUUUCUUCGAUUUACUACCAGAAAUGAGAUCCCUUUUGAGAAAUUGCAACAGAUUUCUUUACAUCUAACAAUAUGAAGUGAACCAUAAAACAGACAGCUUUGACAGAGAAGAAGUGAGAUCACCGACUGCUAGACUUUGUGGUUCCAGUGAUGGAGAGUCCAGCAUAACAAGACGACCCAUGCUUGAUGUCUGCAGACCAGCUAUGAGUGGCAGCAGCAUGCACAUAGCACAGAUGACACAGUGGAACUGUCAGCAAUGCUAUCAUUGGGGGUAUGCAGGAUUUUUGGCAUCAUUUAUAUUUAGCACUAGAUAUCAUGUGUAUG